rnacentral:tRNA from 186 species
GCGGGAAUAGCUCAGUUGGUAGAGCACAACCUUGCCAAGGUUGGGGUCGCGAGUUCGAAUCUCGUUUCCCGCUCCA